ensembl:lncRNA
GUUGGGAUGGGAUAUGGAUUGGGGAUGGAUUGGGAUGGGGAAUGGAUGGGGUAUGGGAUUGGAUAAGGGAUGGGACAUUGAUAUGGGAUGGAUAAGGAGAUGGGAUCGGUUUGGGAUGAGAUAUGGAUUUGAGAUGGAUUUGGGAUGGUUAUGGGAUGGAUAAGGUGAUAUGGAUAUAGAAAGAGAUUUGGCAUGGAGUUGGGAUGGGAUAUGGAUAGAGGAUGAGAUAUGGGAUGGGAUACGGAUAUGGGAUGGGCUAUGGAUACGGGAUGGAUUUGGGAUUUGGAUACGGGAUGGAUUUGGGAUAUGGAUACGGGAUGGAUUUGGGGUAUGGGUUUGGGAUGGAUAUGAUGGUUUGGAUAUUGGAAGGGUUAUGGAUACAGGAUGGGAUAUGGGAUGGGAUAUGGAUAUGGGAUGGCUAUGAGAUGGGGCUGUAGUGGUUAUAGGGCCAUGGGGGCUAUGGGGCUGGGAUGCUGCAGUGUCCCCAAAGCACUCCCCGGUGUGACACACGGAGCCCCACAGCCGCUCCUCUUCCUGCUAUUCACGUAGGGGGGGCAUCCCCCAACCCCCCGUUAUCACAAAAUAAACCUUAAUCCCAAAAUAAAGGGUGCCCCCCGCUCCCACCCCAUGGGAACAGUGCAGUCUGCAAUGGGGGGCGCACAGAAUGGGUCCCCAGAGGGGGGUCCCCAACUUUGGGAUGUGACGCCAUGGUGGGGACGUGGGGGCACUCCCACCUCUGGGACAGACCCCAACUUUGGGGUGUAACAUGUGGGGGUGUCCCCAACUUUGGGGUGUGACACUGUGGUGUGUCCCCAACUUUGGGGUCUGACACCAUCGGGGGGACACAGAGAUGCCCCAACUUUGAGGUGUGACACGGUGGGGGUGUCCCCAACUUUGAGGUGUGACACAGUGACGCGGUGUCCCCACUUCCCCUGGGAAGUCCUCAAGCUGCUCACAGUGUCCCCAACUUUGACGCAAUGCCCCCAGGGGGGUCCUUUUGUCCCCUCAUAGGACAGUGGGAGGCUCAGUGGCAGCACCCCCUGGACACCCCAAGACACUUCUGGGACAUCUUCAGACCCUUCCAGAAGACAACAG